rnacentral:lncRNA from 1 species
GCUUUCAACACAGAGAUGCUUCUGAGAUGUACCCACCACCCGCUAGCCCAUUUCCUAAGUUGAGUCUCUUCAGAAAAGAAGUCUCUCCUGAUGACCUCACUGCAAUUCUAAAAUGCAGUGGGUCAUCUGGGGUCCCAAGCAUCAUCGAAAAAUGUCAUUUGAAUCGGUCUUAUUAGCAGAGUGCAUGAGCUGUUGAUGCAGCCUACUCACACACAAGUCAGGGAUUUAAUUCUGGUGCUCCACUCCUGAAUGGCUGUUAGAUGUAAUGUAAACGCACAGCUUCCCUGCCUCACUGGUCGAAGCUCAUCACGAGCCUGGUGAGACCAGAAGAAAAAUGCCAGAACAAAAUAGUGAAGAAGUAUUUCUUUCUUCAGAAAUGUCUGCUCGCAACAGACUGGCUGGAAGGACACUGCUUGUCCAGAGUGCCGUGGUGGUCACAGUUUGUGUCCUAUUCUUCAAGAACCUUUGGCUUUAUAGAAAACCCUCCAUCUUCUUGAGCUCCGCAGGCUCCAUGAUUAAUGAACUGAAGAAUUGGACAGGGUGUCUGAGAAAAUUCCAGCAGGAUAUGGCAAAAUAUUCUGCACAGUUCUGUUGCCCUUGUGUCAUAUAGAUGGGUUAGAAACAAAAAUGUAUUUAAUGUCCUAAUAAAACUGCAGCUCCAGAGUGCAUAAGAUGUUACAGAGAAUCUCGUGCAAAUUAGACUGUUUUCAUAAUCACUGAGCCCAGAAAGUCCAAAUUCUUUCUUUUUCCCAUUCAACACUCUUUGUGUAGGGUGACUUGUCAUGCUUUUUAUGAGCUGUGUCGAGUAAUAGCUCUGAUUAGGGCGUCGUUAUUCUGCUUCAAAAGAUGAUGAAACUGAGAAGCAAGGCCAAGAAGAUGGGUGAGAGAGUCAGGAAACUCCAACUUUAGAAAAAUUUUUAGUUUAUGGGAAAGACAAGAAAAAAACCCUAAAGCCUUUAGUAUUUCAA